UUAAGGCAUCAUUAUUUUCUUUAAGAUUUACUCACGAAUGAAACAGAAUCCGAUGACUAUAUUCAGGCAUGCCCAGAAAAUGCAAGCUAUAUAUCUAGUACAAAAACAGAUUUUGACACUAAAAGAAAAUAACAUGGUUAAGGUAUUUAAGAAAAGUUAGCUGGCGUUCUGAUUGUGGUUUUUCAUAAAGCAAACAAAACUCAAAUGUAAACAAAACCUACUAACUGCCCGCCAUCGCUUGCUACAAUGUAAUAAAUUACCCUACAAAAAGUGACACCAGCUGAGACUUUGAUACAUUUCCCUCCGUAUGGACAAUGCGUGGAAAGUGACCAUUGUGACGCUGGCCAAACAGCCAAAACCCUUCCAUUCCGUCCACAUGUUAACUAAUCAAAUAACUGAAGCGACACGAAAAUACCCAAAUGUGGCCAUGUCAAUGAUUUCGGCCGCCGGUGCUGACAGUGUCCAAAUCCAAUGCAAACAAAAGUGCAAAUGAGUUCGAGAGUGCGAGGCUAAAAUGUUUGCCCAAGCCAAAAUGUUAAUGGUAAUGACAGCUCCGAGAAUCCGUUAACGAAGUAGGGGCACGUUUUGUGUUCCCGGUUUCCUCGUUUCGAGGUUCCAGGUUCUCCGAUCUCCCCAUUCCCAUCCCGAGGAUGAUUUUGCGGGCUCUGAGCCCUCUGUGAUCCCUAUCGCCUGUCUAUUACAAUUUCCAUCAGUGUGCAUCAGCGCACCCAAAGGCCAAACAAAUGCCAUUAAAAAUUGCCACGUGAAAUGUUUCCAAAAGCCAUCGAGUGGGAAGGAUGGAAGCUGCUAACAUCCCAAUCCUUCCCUCACCUUACUAAAUUAAAAUAUUUUCGGGCAGAUCUGCAUGUAUCCCAAUUAUACGCGACCCAGAAUAUGAUGGUUAGAUGGUCAGACCAGAAACCAAAACCGAACUAAAACCGCACCAAGAAGACAACCCGGCUAAAUCCCAUAAUUAAGCUUGUAUGCAUGUCCUCGUCGUUCUCAUUCUCGUUCUCCUUCUCGACGUUGUCGUCGUCCUUUUUGCGUGCAUGUGAUGUAUUAAUUUAGAGAAAAACCCACCAAAGCCCACCCCCUCUCAGGCAACCAACCGAAAGCAAAAGCAACUACCACACGGUCGACAAUGGCAACCGGCAACCGGCAACGGCCACAAUUACACCUACAGGAAGGCAGGGAGUACAGGACAAUGGCAGGAUCUGUGGAAGGAGUGGAUUUUCGGGGUCUCUCGGAGCGGCAACAGCAAAACUAUUUCACAGCUAAAAAUGCUGUUAUGCGUUUAUAUUAACACGGAUGUGCUGGCAUACACACACGCAACACCGACACCUUCACCCACUGUAUAGUGAAGUCCUGAAGCACGGACACGUAGAAGGGUAGCCAGCAUACAUUAGCUGGCACGUAGGAUGCAAACUAACUGUGCCAUUGGACCAGAAACAGUAUCAGCGAUACGAAUCAUAUGCGGCAGCGCCGAAAACGCAAACCCAUCCCAAAUCACGUCCACCCACCGGGGUGGAUACACCCCAUUUAUCCCAUAUAGAAAUAGCCACCCGAUACGGCAGAGCACCCUUCCAUGCAAUGCAACUUACUUGCACACGGGCAUGUAGAGGAGAAACGUCUACGCGGGCUGCCCAAACCGAAAUUGAUAUACUUUGAAUUGGAAUCACCAGAAAGCCAAAUAAAAGUCA